AAAAAAUACAAACCCUGAUUUCCAUGUCCAACAUUUGACUGUCCGUCUUAUUUAAAAAAAUUAUAAAAAAAAUUAAAAAGACAAGUCACACAUAAAAUGUUAAUAAUGAUUUAUCAUCUAAUAAUAAUAAAAUACGAAUUAUAAAAAAAUUUCUUAUAAGACGGACAGUCAAAGUUAGAAAAAAAAACUUAGGUUUUGUCUUUUU
rfam:Oryza sativa (indica cultivar-group) chromosome 3, whole genome shotgun sequence.